CAAAAAAAAGAAGAAAAAAGAGGCAUAAGGUAUAUGCGCUGGAUCAGAGGGUGUAUCCGUGAAUUUGCUUGGGCCAGGCCCCUAAGCCCACAACUGAAGUCACAUGAGAGGGAAAGGGGGAAAGCUCAGAAUGAAUCACUUGUUCUUGUUCAUGUCUCAAACCUCUCUCUCACGAACUCACCUGAGACCACAAUUUCGCCGCACUGGAAAUCGCUUCUGGCGACGACAGAGGUUCAAACAUCCUCAACCUUACACAAAAAUGUUCAUUCUCGCCCUCUCUUUCACAGUCCUACAUCCAUUAGUCUCAAUUCCCAAGCAUUUCACCAAAUAGAACCCUACAACCUGUGAAUCCUAACAUCUAAAAGCCAAAAUUAAAUCCCACAGAGGAAGAAUCAAAGCCUAACACCUUAGGGCUUUGAUUCCUCAUGCUUGAUACUACAUGGCGGUAACUGAAUUCAAUGCAAGAGAAAAAAGAAAUCAGAGCACCUACUUGCAAGGCAGAGACAACCUCAAAAUUUGUUGGAGUUCGAAGAUGAUGACAAUGAAGAAAAAAUACCAGAGGCCAGGAUUCAUACACAUGGGAAGGCUUGGCAAGGCAUUUUGGCCAAAGUUGUUUAGCACACCCUGACACAUCAAGAUGGAAGGAGAACAUCAAAUGGAGGAGUUUAAAGACUUGGAUGCUCAAUAAUGGGAGUAUCCCAGGGAUGAAAGGAAUGUAGAAUUAGGGUUUUAGGGUUAGGAUUAGGUUAGUUGACUUUGGUCAAUUGGUUGACCAAAAAAGUCAACAGUUGGCCAAAGUCAACUAUAAGUCAAAAACAUGUAAUUUUGUGCAAAGUUUUGUAAUUUGUUUCUUUUGUGAUGUAAUUGGACAUGUUAAAAUAAAAAAGGCUCUUUAGAUGAA